CGGACGGGUGAGUAAUGUCUGGGAAACUGCCCGAUGGAGGGGGAUAACUACUGGAAAACGGUAGCUAAUACCGCAUAACGUCGCAAGACCAAAGAGGGGACCUUCGGGCCUCUUGCCAUCGGAUGUGCCCAGAUGGGAUUAGCUAGUAGGUGGGGUAACGGCUCACCUAGGCGACGAUCCCUAGCUGGUCUGAGAGGAUGACCAGCCACACUGGAACUGAGACACGGUCCAG
rnacentral:rRNA from 1 species